CGGUGUUUAACUGGCGUGAUGUGGGACGUCCUACCGGUGGGCUUAGCCUCGCGAGGGGCGGCCCAACUAAUAUCCCGUCGCGGUGCUCUUUACUGAGUGUCGAGUCGGGCCGGUACGUUUACUUUGAACAAAUUAGAGUGCUUAAAGCAGGCUAUCCUCGCCUGAAUACUGCGUGCAUGGAAUAAUGGAAUAGGACCUCGGUUCUAUUUUGUUGGUUUUCGGAACCCCGGGGUAAUGAUUAAUAGGGACAGAUGGGGGCAUUCGUAUUGCGACGUUAGAGGUGAAAUUCUUGGAUCGUCGCAAGACGGACAGAAGCGAAAGCAUUUGCCAAAAAUGUUUUCAUUAAUCAAGAACGAAAGUUAGAGGUUCGAAGGCGAUCAGAUACCGCCCUAGUUCUAACCAUAAACGAUGCCAGCUAGCGAUCCGCCGAAGUUCCUCCGAUGACUCGGCGGGCAGCUUCCGGGAAACCAAAGCUUUUGGGUUCCGGGGGAAGUAUGGUUGCAAAGCUGAAACUUAAAGGAAUUGACGGAAGGGCACCACCAGGAGUGGAGCCUGCGGCUUAAUUUGACUCAACACGGGAAACCUCACCAGGCCCAGACACCGGAAGGAUUGACAGAUUGAUAGCUCUUUCUUGAUUCGGUGGGUGGUGGUGCAUGGGCCGUUCUUAGUUGGUGGAGCGAUUUGUCUGGUUAAUUCCGAUAACGAACGAGACUCUAGCCUGCUAAAUAGGCGUACCUUAUGGUAUCGCGAAGGCCCCCGGCUUCGGCCGGUGGGUUUUUACUACCAACGUACAAACAAAUCUUCUUAGAGGGACAGGCGG
rnacentral:rRNA from 1 species